rnacentral:rRNA from 1 species
GACGAACGCUGGCGGCGUGCUUAACACAUGCAAGUCGAGCGGUAAGGCUCCUUCGGGAGUACACGAGCGGCGAACGGGUGAGUAACACGUGAGUAAUCUGCCCUCCACUUUGGGAUAAGCCUCGGAAACGAGGUCUAAUACCGAAUACGACCACUUCCUGCAUGGGAUGGUGGUGGAAAGUUUUUUCGGUGGGGGAUGUGCUCGCGGCCUAUCAGCUUGUUGGUGGGGUAAUGGCCUACCAAGGCUUCGACGGGUAGCCGGCCUGAGAGGGUGACCGGCCACACUGGGACUGAGACACGGCCCAGACUCCUACGGGAGGCAGCAGUGGGGAAUAUUGGACAAUGGGCGGAAGCCUGAUCCAGCAACGCCGCGUGAGGGAUGACGGCCUUCGGGUUGUAAACCUCUUUCAGCGGGGACGAAGCGCAAGUGACGGUACCCGCAGAAGAAGCACCGGCCAACUACGUGCCAGCAGCCGCCGUAACAC